UUUUUUUUUUUUUUUUUUUGUUUAUACCUUUAAAAGAAAACUAAAAGUUGAUGGGUUGCCAAUGGAUAUUCUGGAGCUAGCAAUACUUACGCCCAGAAACUAAGGUCAUGCUUUAUCUAUACUAUAUUAAUAAGCAUAUCCAAGGGGCAACUUAAGGUAAUUAUUUUUGUACUUAAAACACCAUCAAUGCACAAUGUACAACACUUAAAGCAUCAAGAAACACAAAUAAUUUACCCUUCAACUGGUUCAUCUUCAACCAUCCAUUUGUCUCACUUUUCACACGGAUCGUGAUCUAACGGCUCACACAUAUCAAUCUUUCCAUUCCUUCUCUCACAACUCACACGUCACAAAACUUCAUCAGACCCCCCCUCUCUCUCUCUCUCUCUCUCUCUGCGACUCAAGAACAUCAUGCCAGAUCUCUUUCUCAUGUGUAUUGAACGGCUCCAUCUCCUCUCUAACACCACCGAUUUAAUCUCCGAUUUGAAGAUUAAAUCAGGGAGAUAUGACUUCGAAUAAGUUCGUUCUUCCGAUUCAACAACCAUCAGUGAAUCAAGUCUGCAAAGAUCGGUGGCUACGGAGAAGAGUUCCCGGCUGGUCCUAGGGUUACCCGCUACAGGUUCUGGUUCGCAACAACCAGCAAUGCAACAGCGUCCGGUUCAGACGCCGCCGGCGCAGCAACAGUCGGCUGACUCACUGUUGGUGCCGUCAUCGUCGAAGAAGAUAAGUGUUGAACUUACAUUUUUAUAAUUUUAUUUGCUGUGUUCUGUUUAUAAUGCUUAAUUUUAUUUCUGUAAUGUUAUUUCAGUUUUGGAAAUUACAUUUUUAUUAUUUUAUUUGUCGUGUUCCGUUUAUAAUGCUUAAUUGCUUGUGAGGUGAUAAUGCAUUGAUAAAUGAUACUCUGUGCUAAUGUUAUUUCAAGUUUGGUUUUAGGUAUCAAUUUCUUCUGAGAAAUCAUGAAAUUUCUCAGCUUUCUGUAUCGGGCUUCACACCUCGGAAAUUUGCUGUUAGCUUAUGAUGGAAGGAAGAGUGCGUUUGUUGCGGGUUCUAUUGAUGGUGGUUGUCUGGUUAAGUUGGCAUUCCGACCACUCGACAACCGUAAGAUCGACGGAGAAGAGGUGCAACUGACACUUUUAGAUCUACGGCCCCCAACCCCUAAUGCGUUCAAACAUUCAGAUCUGGUAUCAGAUCGACGGAGAAGAGGUGCAACUGACACUUUUGUCCUCUCUUCAUUGAAACACAGAUAUAAUGUUUGGAGAUGCCAUGAGGAGAGGAAUCCUAAUUGGUGAAAAAAAAGAUUUACUACAGGGAUGUUAGGUGAUUCAUGCUUAAAUUAACUGGCUUGGAUGUUGAGGAAUUUGGUAUUCCAAAAUUUGAGGAUGAUAACCUGCUUGGCGGUUUGGAAAUAGAAUGUUUGACGGGUUUUGUCAUUUUGGCUUUCUUAUAAGGGCGUUGAAGAGCCGUAAAGCACGAUCUUGACACUAUGGGGCUGUUCAUUCCAUCUUCUGAAGAUGACCAAAAGGCGAAGUUAUAUCUCGAAACCUUUACACAAUUCAAAGAAAGGGAGAUGUACGGCAAAGCACGGGUCGGAGCAGUUGUAGGCGGAACAUAUCUAACAAUCAGAGUGGAUACAACCUGGUUACCUGGUUAAGAAACAAGGCUUGAAGAGAUAAGAGGAUGGAGAAAGUCAGGUGGACCGAAAUAGGUGAAAGAUCCAUCAUUUAUGGAGUAGAUGUAUAAUCGAUGGUCCUCAAUUGAUUUUUUGAAGUACAAAUCUUUGCUUGACAACUACUGCACCAGAACAACUCACGUUUGAUCUACAAUUGUUAUCUUACUCUCCUAUUGUUAAUGAGAAUUAUCAACCUUGUAUUUUGUUAGGUGAGGGGACUUGGUUCCUUGCUGUUAGAUGUAGCCAUGUAGGUGGAUUUGAACAAAGGUAUUAUAACUCAUGUUAAUACUAAAUUGUUAAUUACCACUUCUUUUAAGCCA